GGGUAAAUAUACUUUUGACAUUUCACGUAUUGACAUCAAUCAUUGAUGAAAUAUGUAUUUUUUACUUUUUACAUUAAUACACUAUGCACAGUGGGCAAAUAAAGCAUCAACUAUUUAGAUAACUAAUUUAAAUAUUUAUUACAACCUAUUUUUUUCCUCAAUAGGUACCUCAUUAUCGUUUUUCCUCGGUUUCCUUAGAUAACUAGGUACUUAAUUUUGUAGACACGAGUAUUGUGUACAUAUGGUCAAUUUGUAGCCGAUAGAAAUAGCGGAUUUUCAACACAUGAAGUUUGAACUUUUAUGUAGAUAGGUACAUUUAUAUCUAUGCCAAAACCUCUAAGUAUAGAUUUCAAAAAAAGGAAGAACUGAUUUUACUGAUGUGUGGGCCAUACUAUUAAAAGUGAAAGAUUCGAUAUGUAGUUUAUAAAUAUAUGUCUACGCAACGGUAAAUUAUUGAUAACAAAAAUAACGAAAUAAUAACAAUGAAUUGAUACUGGGGACGGGUGUGCCACUGUUGUAGGUGUCGGGAAGGUAGAACGGAUAGAAAACAGAAAACGAUUUGGAGCAAAGUCCGGUUACACAUAUUUUAAAAUAAUGAAAUCGUAACUCCGUAUACUCCGUUCAUUUCUCAAAUUUCGCAGUUUUUUACAUUUUUUUUUUUUUUUUUUGAAAAAUUAAAAAAUGACCUUCCUAAAGUACCAUUCAGAUAAAAUUUAUUUUCAGCAAAGGCACUACUCAUGAAAAUUGAAUCAAGAUUUCUGGUUGAAAAGUUGUUUACAAACAGAAAAAAUUAAUAAAACACAAAAUCUUAGUAAGACCAAUAGAUCUUCGCUAAGCUCCGAAGUUUGAUGAAAACUUUUCCGUUUUUCCUACGUUUUUUCACAAUUAUUAAGAAAAGUCCAAUGAAUGAAAAAUCCAAAAACGAUUUUCGGUACCUAUAAACGUGCCGUAUGCUAUGUACCGGCGUAUUAUGCUUUAUGCAAAAAAUGACUAGUACUAUUAUGUCAUAUGCUAUCUACGCUAAGAAAUGUAUUCUUAACAUAAGUAUUUAAACAAUUUCAUUGGAGCUUUGCAGUUUUAAUUAAAAUUAUAAUCGUCUGUAUGUGGAUCAUGAAGUUCUUGUUCGCUAUGGUUAACAGUUUGGUGAAGAAAAUUUUGAUUUUUUGAAGUGCUGCGUGCUCUCCGCUCAUCUGAAUUUGGUACCUAACAACCCACGUUAUUUCACAAACUUAACACAAGAUCCAUCGUUAAAAAUAAUGUUUUUGUAUAAAUCACACAAAUUACGUUUAACCAGCACCGAACACAUACCAGACCACGAAGCAUUUUACACGAAUACAACCGUAACAAUAUAAUCUAUUAAAGACAAU